rnacentral:rRNA from 1 species
GAUGAACGCUGGCGGCGUGCCUAAUACAUGCAAGUCGAGCGAACAGACGAGGAGCUUGCUCCUCUGACGUUAGCGGCGGACGGGUGAGUAACACGUGGAUAACCUACCUAUAAGACUGGGAUAACUUCGGGAAACCGGAGCUAAUACCGGAUAAUAUAUUGAACCGCAUGGUUCAAUAGUGAAAGACGGUUUUGCUGUCACUUAUAGAUGGAUCCGCGCCGCAUUAGCUAGUUGGCAAGGUAACGGCUUACCAAGGCAACGAUGCGUAGCCGACCUGAGAGGGUGAUCGGCCACGCUGGAACUGAGACACGGUCCAGACUCCUACGGGAGGCAGCAGUAGGGAAUCUUCCGCAAUGGGCGAAAGCCUGACGGAGCAACGCCGCGUGAGUGAUGAAGGUCUUCGGAUCGUAAAACUCUGUUAUUAGGGAAGAACAAAUGUGUAAGUAACUAUGCACGUCUUGACGGUACCUAAUCAGAAAGCCACGGCUAACUACGUG